rnacentral:rRNA from 1 species
UACGUAGGGGGCAAGCGUUGUCCGGAUUUAUUGGGCGUAAAGAGCGUGUAGGCGGCCUGAAAGGUCAGCUGUGAAAACUCGAGGCUCAACCUCGAGACGUCGGUUGAAACCAUCUGGCUAGAGUCCGGAAGAGGAGUGUGGAAUUCCCGGUGUAGCGGUGAAAUGCGCAGAUAUCGGGAGGAACACCAGUGGCGAAGGCGGCCCUCUGGGCCGGGCCUGACGCUGAGACGCGAGGGCGUGGGGAGCGAACGGG